rnacentral:tRNA from 1 species
GCCUGGGUGGCUCAGUCGGUUAAGCGUCCGACUUUGGCUCAGGUCAUGAUCUCACGGCUUGUGGGUUUGAGCCCCGCCUCGGGCU